rnacentral:ncRNA from 1 species
ACAGAUGCGUAGAUGGGAAGAGUACGGUUAAAUCACGGGACAAGAGAGCCGGGUUGCUGGAAGCCGGUACCAGGUUUAACACGGAAGGCCAUCCCGGAGCAGUCGGGCUGAACAUAUCGGGCGCAAGCCGGCAAAUAGGCCCGACCGGUGGCGACGUUAGAGCCGGGGUCACAUCAGACCCCUUGAGGUCGAAGCCGUAAGGCGUCGAUGAAAAUGGGUGGCACCGCGAGCAGAUGACAACCUCUCGUCCCGUUG